AUUUUUUUGAUCCUAAGCUUAGUGAAUAACUUCGAAGAUUUUGGGGGUAGACAUCAGUAUGUUGAGUGGGCAAGGGAACGUGGCCUGCAAUUGAGUAACGAUGAUGACUUCUACACAAAUCCUGUGGUCAAAACAUUCUAUAAAAACCAUGUAAAGGCUGUGCUCACAAGAGUUAACUCAAUUACAGGGUUGACAUAUAAAGAUGAUCCGACCAUUUUUGCUUGGGAAUUGAUAAAUGAACCUCGUUCCAAUGACUCCUCUGGAUCACAAAUUCAGGACUGGGUCAAAGAAAUGGCGUCCCACGUUAAAUCCGUAGAUAGCUGCCAUCUACUGGAGAUUGGGCUUGAAGGGUUUUAUGGGGAGUCGAUGAAGCAGUUCAAUCCGGGUAAUUUCCUUGUUGGGACUGAUUUCAUCUCCAACAAUCAAGUCCCAGAGAUUGAUUUUACCACCAUUCAUCUCUACCCUGAGCAAUGGUUGCCAAAUUCAAGCGAAGAGGAGCAGGCUGCUUUUGUAGACAGAUGGGUCAAAGACCAUAUCCAAGAUUCCAAUUCAGUGCUGCACAAACCACUUAUUAUUGGGGAAUUCGGAAGGUCUUCCAGGAUUCCUGGAUACAGCUUACAGAAAAGGGACAGCUAUUUUGUGGAGAUAUAUAAUGCCAUAUACAGCAGUGUUAUAAGUGGGGGCCCAUUUAAUGGUGGUCUCUUUUGGCAACUCAUGGCCCAAGGAAUGGACAGCUGGGGAGAUGGCUACCAAGUAGUCUUGGAGGAGAGCCCCUCUACGGCCAGUGUGAUUGCUGAACAGUCUCGCAGACUAUCAUCUAUUAAAUGAAAAAAUUAAAAAGAAAAUACUUCUGAUAUACACAUGUAGGAAUCACAAAAUAAAUUUGUAUCCCUGUAUUGGUUUCCAUCCACAGGAAGAGAAAAG
rnacentral:misc_RNA from 1 species